rnacentral:rRNA from 1 species
UACGUAGGUGGCAAGCGUUGUCCGGAUUUACUGGGCGUAAAGAGCGCGCAGGCGGUCGUUCAAGUCGCGUGUGAAAGCCCCCGGCUCAACUGGGGAGGGUCACGCGAUACUGAUCGACUCGAAGGCAGGAGAGGGAAGUGGAAUUCCCGGUGUAGUGGUGAAAUGCGUAGAUAUCGGGAGGAACACCAGUGGCGAAGGCGGCUUUCUGGUCUGUAACUGACGCUGAGGCGCGAAAGCGUGGGGAGCAAACAGG